rnacentral:tRNA from 1 species
AGGAUUAUAGUUUAUUAAAACAUUUGAUUUGCAGUCAAAAAUUAUUGAAUAUUCAAUUUAUCUU